CAGGCCUAACACAUGCAAGUCGAGGGGCAGCGCGGGAGUGGCAACACUCCUGGCGGCGACCGGCGCACUGGUGAGUAACACGUAUGCGACCUGCCCCGGACAGGGGGAUAAACCCGGGAAACUGGGCCUAAUACCCCAUAUGCCUGAGAGGUGCAUGCCUUUCAGGUGAAAGAUCCGUCGGUCCGGGAUGGGCAUGCGGCGCAUUAGCUUGUUGGCGGGGCAACGGCCCACCAAGGCGACGAUGCGUAGGGGUUCUGAGAGGAAGGUCCCCCACACUGGUACUGAGACACGGACCAGACUCCUACGGGAGGCAGCAGUGAGGAAUAUUGGACAAUGGCCGGAAGGCUGAUCCAGCCAUGCCGCGUGCGGGAAGACGGCCCUAUGGGUUGUAAACCGCUUUUGCGAGGGAGCAAUAAGGGCAACGUGUUGUCCGAUGAGAGUACCUCGCGAAUAAGCAUCGGCUAACUCCGUGCCAGCAGCCGCGGUAAUACGGAGGAUGCAAGCGUUAUCCGGAUUUAUUGGGUUUAAAGGGUGCGCAGGCGGCUUGUUAAGCGGGAGGUGAAAUGCCGGCGCUCAACGUCGGAAGUGCCUCCCGAACUGGUGAGCUUGAAUGACUCUGCCGUGGGAGGAAUGUGUAGUGUAGCGGUGAAAUGCUUAGAGAUUACACAGAACACCGAUUGCGAAGGCAUCUCACGAAGGGUUGAUCGACGCUGAGGCACGAAAGCGUGGGGAUCAAACAGGAUUAGAUACCCUGGUAGUCCACGCAGUAAACGAUGAUGGCUAACCGCUGGGUUAUUCGAUUCAGUGGCCAAGCGAAAGCGAUAAGCCAUCCACCUGGGGAGUACGACCGCAAGGUUGAAACUCAAAGGAAUUGACGGGGGCCCGCACAAGCGGAGGAACAUGUGGUUUAAUUCGAUGAUACGCGAGGAACCUUACCCGGGCUCGAACGGCUGGUGAAGAGAUCCAGAGAUGGUGACGUCCUUCGGGACACCAGUCGAGGUGCUGCAUGGUUGUCGUCAGCUCGUGCCGUGAGGUGUCGGCUCAAGUGCCAUAACGAGCGCAACCCUUGCCGUCAGUUACCAUCAAGUAGUGUUGGGGACUCUGGCGGGACUGCCACCGCAAGGUGUGAGGAAGGGGGGGAUGACGUCAAAUCAGCACGGCCCUUACGUCCGGGGCGACACACGUGUUACAAUGGCGGCCACAGAGGGGCACUACCUGGCGACAGGAUGGGAAUCUCGAAAAGCCGUCUCAGUCCGGAUCGGAGUCUGCAACCCGACUCCGUGAAGCUGGAUUCGCUAGUAAUCGCGCAUCAGCCAUGGCGCGGUGAAUACGUUCCCGG
rnacentral:rRNA from 1 species